rnacentral:rRNA from 1 species
UACGUAGGGGGCAAGCGUUGUCCGGAUUUAUUGGGCGUAAAGAGCUCGUAGGUGGUUUGGUAAGUCGGAUGUGAAAUCUCCAGGCUCAACCUGGAGGGGUCAUUCGAUACUGCCAUGACUAGAGGUCGGUAGGGGAGUGUGGAAUUCCUGGUGGAGCGGUGAAAUGCGCAGAUAUCAGGAGGAACACCCGUAGCGAAGGCGGCGCUCUGGGCCGAUUCUGACACUGAGGAGCGAAAGCGUGGGGAGCGAACAGG